rnacentral:rRNA from 1 species
GACGAACGCUGGCGGCGUGCCUAAUACAUGCGAGUAGAACGCUGAAGGAGGAGCUUGCUCUUCUGGAUGAGUUGCGAACGGGUGAGUAACGCGUAGGUAACCUGCCUGGUAGCGGGGGAUAACUAUUGGAAACGAUAGCUAAUACCGCAUAAAAUUGAUUAUUGCAUGAUAGUCAAUUAAAAGGUGCAAUUGCAUCACUACCAGAUGGACCUGCGUUGUAUUAGCUAGUUGGUGAGGUAACGGCUCACCAAGGCAACGAUACAUAGCCGACCUGAGAGGGUGAUCGGCCACACUGGGACUGAGACACGGCCCAGACUCCUACGGGAGGCAGCAGUAGGGAAUCUUCGGCAAUGGACGGAAGUCUGACCGAGCAACGCCGCGUGAGUGAAGAAGGGUUUCGGAUCGUAAAGCUCUGUUGUAAGAGAAGAACGAGUGUGAGAGUGGAAAGUUCACACUGUGACGGUAUCUUACCAGAAAGGGACGGCUAACUACGUG